ensembl:lncRNA
GAGCCUGCUUCUGAACUUCAACACUUAACUAAAAACUUAUCUUCCCGAAGGCCCACCCACAUUUCUACAUUUUUCUCACACCUUACUGACUUUAGGAUCCACUGAAUAUUGUAUCAUCCAUCUAUACACUACUCCAUAUCAAACUUUUUUUUUUAUUGCCCCACCUGUAAUACACGGAAAUUCUAGGGCCAGGGAUUGAAUCCAAGCCACAGCUGUGGUGUAGAUCGCACCAGGCUGGGGAUUUGAUCUGCAUCACUCCAGUUACAUGAGCCCUGCCAUCAGAUGCUUACCUCACUGCACCGUAACAAGAACUCCCCGUUACAAAUUUUCACAUGUUUAUUCUGAAGCCAAACUACCUGGAGUCAAUCACCAGUGUCACUAAUUAUUGGAUGGCCAUAAUAAAUUAUUUAACAUUUUUAAUCAGUUUCCUCAUUUGUGCAAUGGGGAAUCUGUAUGACAAUUAAUCUGUAUGACAGAUUAAUCUGUAAUCUGUAUGACAAUUAAAUGGCUUAAUAUUUUUAAGUGCUUAGAAGUUUAAAAAGUACCUGGCACAUGAUGAACACACAGUAAAUGUCAGCACUAGUAGCAGCUAUAUUCAGUCUCUUAUUGCCGGCUACCAUGGUGUCCAGACACUGAGUGUCCGUUCUGAUUGGAUUGUUCUCCUCUGAGUCAAUUCAGCUGGUGAACCAAUCUGCAUCGAUCUGGCUGGUGUUCCUGGUUUCUGUGUCUGGCUUAAACAAUCAGGAGUUUCAUAAUCAUGAUAGGUAAGACCAUCUCUCAAAUUUCAUAUAAUUUGUACAUAGCCAUGGACUAUUUUAUGAUAUUAAAAGAAUUGUUUAAUUUUCAAAAUAUGCAAGCAACUUUUAGAACCACAGACUAUGUGGGCAUCUGAUUUUUUAUAGAUAUAACUAUUCUCAUUUACUUAGUCCUACUAAUAUGGUCCUUAGUUGGCAGGCUUCUGGGUUAUCAGCUGCAUGACUUUAGGCAAAUGUCAAUUUCCUCAUCUGUAACAAGCCAGUAAUAGAAUGUCUGCUCAUACAUGUGCAGUGAGGAUUGAAUGAGUUAAUGCUCCUUCGCCCAGUGCCUGGAAGGACAAAUGUUAGGAUUCAUCGUAAUCACCUUCUUCCAAACACCUCAGUAGCUCAGAUCGACACAAUACCUUUUGCCUGACACAACAGAAGAAAUGGUGAAAUGAAAAAGCAAACCUGCAACCACUGAAGCAUACUAAUCAAUGCUAUGACUAGAAAGAAUUUUGGUAUAUGAAGAAACCAAAAGAUACUCAAAAGUUUGUCUUGCCUUUUUAAGCGAAAGAGUAUUUUAGGAAAUGGGUUUUCUUUCUGGCAGCACUACCUUAUAUAAAUGCAUAAAGAUGCAAAUGAUUAAUAUAAGACUAUCCUUUAAGAGGAGCAAGAGAGAACAUGAGUGCUAAACCUUUCAGAAGAAUAAAAGCAAAGGGGAGAACUAUAUAUGAAACAUAAUUUUGCUGCCAACAAAGAAGCCACUAGAGCCCCCUGGUCUUCCACUGUGCUAAGUCUGAUUGAACAGGCCCUCCAGCAGCUUAUAGCAGCAAUUUUCACAGAGUAGUCUGCAGACCAGCAGCCUCAGCUUCACCUGGAAUUUGUAAGAAACACAAGCUCUCAGGCCCUAUCAAAGACCUACUGGGAGUUCCCACUGUGGUGCAAUAGGAUUGGUAGUAUCUUGGGAGCAGUGGGAGGCAGGUUCAAUCCCCACUUACGAAACACUCGGAAAAGCAAAGAAGUAAACAAGAUACAACCCUCUGUGAUAAGUACUCUAUACAAUGGUGCUAUUCCCAGGGAACUACUGGGGUGCACUGAAUCUGACCCCAAUUCAGCCUAGCAGGUAAGUUUGAGAUAAACCUUCAACAUAUUUGUGUGAAUAAUCAGGUAAAGGAGGAAGAAAGGACUGGAUUAGAUUCCAGAUCUCUGCACUCACACAGGACACUGAACGCAACUUCACUGUAAAUAAAUACAGCAGAUAUUUGUGUAGAAUAUCUUAUUCGCCUGGAUUUAUAGUAAACCCUUUACAUGCAUUAUUAUGUUCAAUAUUUAGGACAUCCUUUAUAAAAAAAGUACAACUAUUCUCCCUACCUUGCCGAAAGGAAACGGAGGUUUGGAAAGUGAACAUUCUUGCAAAGAUGGGCAGGCAAAUGCGAUCAAGAGUACGUGUGGAGGGUCUGGCUGUUUUUUAUGGGAGGAGGCGAACCUCCCCAUAGUCACAGGAGGGGGAAAGAUGAGCCUAGCAGAGUGGAUGCGUUCAUAGAUUUGUCUAUAAAUGUCAUCCAAUAAGUAAAAAGCAGCGCUGGGACUUGAGCCCAGUCAGUCUGCCAGUAGAGUUCACGACUUCAGUUUACCAUUUAGCUGUGCUGACUGUAUUGAGUUAUAACUGCCUUUUUAUUUGUCGGCCCUCCCCUCACUAGAUGAGGGAGCUCUUUACCCGCUGAAUUCUAGCCAAGGUGCAAGUAUAUAAUAUGCACUCCAUUUUUAUUAAAAUGUGAAUAAAUGAUGACACUAAACUCAACUGUGUGGCUCAUUUUAAGAAUGGGCUAAAGGACAGAUGCAAUUAAUUUAUAUUUUUAUUCUAACGUUAGGAAAAUCUGGCCAUGAUUUUCAGCUUGGUGAACAUAAUUUAUCCUUAAGGAAUCCCUUUUGUUUUUACAUUCUGCUUCAGGUCCACAAAAGAGUGUUUGUGAAGAUAACGGAUAUUUUGGUUAUCAUUCUAACAAACAUUCUACUCCUCAUCCAAGAUGUUGCACCCAUUUACAUCUAGAAAAGUUGGUUUACCUGCCCACCCCCCACCCCAGUCCCAGUGGAGUACAAAACCUCGUAUAAGCUAAUCAUUGCUUUCCAUGCUCUGAGCACUGUUAGUAGUUCAUUCACGGGCAUCAGGCAUGUGGUCUAGGCUAAUAAAAUCAGAGAAAAAUCUCAGACAUUAUGCUGGAAAUUCUGGUAUACAGAUAAUCUCUAUUUCUCAGAUGUAUGCAAUGCACAAGUUUAACAACUGGAAUUGUUGUUGCCACUUUACUAUCAUGAGAAAAGCAACCUGAGGAGGAAGCAGAUACACAGUGGAGGGUAGAAUCAAAGUAACUGCAUACACCUGUCCUGAUUUUUGCUUGAAGUCCAUUAUUACUAAAGGAUUUCUCAUUUUUUAGUAAAUUUCCUAUCAUUUUGGCCAGUCUGUGCUGAUUUUUUCUUUUGAUGCAAGCUGAUAUUUCCCAACUGAUUUCACAGAACUUGUAAUCGAUCCCAGUUUCUGCAUCCUUUCUUUUUCAACAAUUAGAACCACAUAUACAUUAGCUAAUGCCUUAGCCCUUCUAUGAAACCUAGAUAAUUAGAUAUUAAGCAGCAGAGGAGUUCCCAUCGUGGUGCAGCGGAAACGAAUCCGACUGGGAACCAUGAGGUUGCGGGUUCCAUCCCUGGCCUUGCUCAGUGGGUUAAGGAUCAGCAUUGCCAUGAGCUACGGUGUAGGUAGCAGAUGCGGCUUGGAUCUGGCGUUGCUGUGGCUCUGGCAUAGGCCAGCGGCUACAGCUCUGAUUAGACCUCCAUAUGCCAUGGGUGCGGCCCUAAAAAGGACAAAAAAAUGAAUAAAUAAAAGACAAAAAAAUAAAAUAAAAUAAACAGCAGAAAUUUCAACGCCUUAACCCCAACCUCUUAAGACCCAGGACCAGUCACUCUUACUUGUGCAUCUCUGACCUAACGUCCAAAUCUGAAAUCUUCUGCCCUUUCGGACAACUGAAUCUUUAUUUAAUUUCUCAUGUAUAAGAGCCUCAUGGUCAUCUUCGUAUCUUUCUGUGUUCUAAUUCUAUACCUCUCUCUUACCAGCCAUCUUCCAGGGUCCAGGGUCCUGCCUCUCCACCCCAGCCUGUGGCAGGUGGCUGCUACUAAUAGAGAAACAUUAUUCAGUUUAGUAUCAUCCUAGCAGUUGCUAAGUUAUAUUGAAAGCCAGUUACUUAACCUCUUCCAAACCUUUACCAAGGAAGUGCCUCAAAAUACCCUCAUAGCAAUAAAGAAAGGGAACUUUGGCACGUCUGCUUUUUUCGCCUUUUCUGCUUCAGAUGAACUAAGAAUCUGAAAACAUAAGUUGCAAGCAGCUGGGGCACUAAAAACAGCAAUGCAGCUACCAUCCCAGAAGUAAAUGCACUGGUCUCUUUAAUAAAACCCAUUCAUCAUGAGCAAUAGAGAUUCUAUGCAUUAAAAAUUUUUUCUACACUGUUUCAUAUUUUGAAAUAUCUAAUGUUUCAUGUGUGUACAUUCUGUCUCCUCCCACAAAUUUAUGAGGACCUAGACCAUAAGUAUGUUAUCUUCUGUGUGUUAAGUAGAAUUUAUUAAAUGAUGGUUGACUUGGAGAUUAAAGGGCAGGUAGGCAGCAAUUUUCCUAGAAAAAAAAAAUUGUGGAAAAUUCUUCCCAGCUUGUGAAGACACUUUUGAAUGACGAUGAGAUACUCCUUACAGUGGACUUCUUGACCAGUAUAUCUGGUUGCACUUCUUAGCAACAUUGAAUCUCAAUACACAUUCAGUGAAUACUUACUACGUGGUGAGCAUUGCUAGGUAUCAGGCACACAAGGUGGAAAAGAGAGCCAUGAUAAUAAUUUACCACUGUGUCAUGAGUCUCCCUCAGCCUACACGAUUGCUAUGCUUCCUCUCGGUGCUCCCAAAGCAGCGAGACUCCAACUGAAAAUGACACCAGAUGCCAAUGAAGAAAGGCAACGGAACCUUGCUAGCAGCUUCAGUUUAUAUGAAAUCGUUCUUGGGGCAGAGAGCUUAACAUUUAGAUCGUACAUGAAGGUAUUCGUAUCCAGCAGGUACCCGGUAUACUUACCACAGGCUGGGUGAGGCAAUCCUACGGUCUAUGAUCAUGUCAAUUCAGGGGUGAAAACUUUGUUAUCAACAGCCCACGACACAAGAAAACUAAGCUAAA